rnacentral:rRNA from 1 species
GACGAACCGUGCGAACGUUAUUCGGAAUCACUGGGCUUAAAGGGCGCGUAGGCGGCCUGUUAAGUCGAACGUGAAAUCCCCGGGCUCAACCCGGGAACUGCGUCCGAUACUGGCAGGCUUGAAUUCGGGAGAGGGAUGCGGAAUUCCAGGUGUAGCGGUGAAAUGCGUAGAUAUCUGGAGGAACACCGGUGGCGAAGGCGGCAUCCUGGACCGAGAUUGACGCUGAGGCGCGAAAGCCAGGGGAGCAAACGGG